UCUCUCUUCAAUAACCACUGGCGCAAUCAAUACAAGGUGCAGUCAAUCUAAUCAAUUCCUUCGCUAACGAACCCUCUCUCCACACUGGACUCCAGCACCACGACGACCUAGGGUUUCUCCCGCGAUCCGUCUCACUCUCCCACUGCCUUCCGACUCUGAGCUUAAACUGCAUGUUGUUGCCGUGAAGUUAACCUACUGCCUUAACAAGGGAGUACACAAUGAGUGGGAGCGCCAGAAAACGUAAAUCUCUAUGGGAUCGCAUUGGAGAGCCUCAGCUUCCAGCUGAAAUCAGCGAAAAGGAUUCUUGGCGUGAGAAAGAAAGCUAUUCCAACCUCCAUGUUGGUCAUGGUUCAAAGUGGUCUGACUUGGAAGACGACAAUGCAUUCAGGACCAAAGGAAGCGGUAACCAGAAGGAUGACAGGAGAGACUUAGAUGAUUUUCCUGAAACAAGAAAGCCUUGGGAUGGGGAUAAGAGCCAUCAUGUAUCUUCGGCCUUUGAUAGAUUGCAACCACAAAACCACAGCCAUUCUCCUGAAAAUAGUAGGAACGUGUCAUCCAGGUACAGAAGGAGCAGCAGGAGCAUAAGCAGGAGCAGGGACAGGGGCAGGGGUAGGAGUAGGAGCCCUAGCCGAGGAAGGGGCAGGAGUAGGGACAGAGACUGGGACAGGGGUAGGGACAGGGGUAGGAGCAGGAGCAGGAGCAGGAGCAGGAGUAGGAGCCCCCUUGGUAAUUACAGACAAGAAUCCUACAGAUGGACUGACAGAAGUAGAAGUGGGUUGUCUCAACCAUGUAGAGACUUUGCUUCUGGUAAUUGCAGGAGAGGCAGUGAAUGCAAGUUCCUUCAUCAGGAUAACCUCAAUCACAAGGAUGGGGGGCGAUUUGAGAGUGAAAAAUCUGAAAGAUGGAGAAGUACACAGGAACGGGGAGGAAAUAGUUAUGAUGGAGGGAAGGACGAGCCCAGGAGGAGCAGUGGUAAAUCUACAGUGCUUUGUAAUGAUUUCAUGAGAGGUAGGUGCAGUAGGGGAUCAUCAUGCAGAUUUUCCCACGAUGAUGAUGCUAUGGGUUACAAUAGUGAAAGAAGCAAAAGAGAUUCUUCGUUUGAUCAUGAGUACAAGCGGCAACCACGUACGAAUGGCAAUACACCUUCCAAGUUUGGCAAUACGCCUUGCAAGUUUUUUUUAAUGGGGAACUGCAAUAGAGACAACUGCAGAUUUUCUCAUGAUGGUGCAGGGCGAGACGUUUUUGAAGGAAAGUCACAGGAUGAUGGUAGGGGUAAAGUUUGUGACGACACGAACAAAUCAUGGAAUGGUCCAAAAUGGGGCGAAGGAACUGCUGUCUCAGACGUUUUGCAGUCUAUUGGUUGGAGUAAUGCUAGAAAAGAGGCUUUUUCUGUUACAAAUGAUGAUGAAAUGAGUAAACCGUGGAAUGGUCUAAAAUGGGGCGAACCAACUGUUGUCUCAGACGUUUCACAGUCUACUGGUUGGGGGAAUGUUGGAAAAGAGACUUUUAUUGAUCCAGCACCGGCUGAGAAACGGACUGAUGAUAGAAGGUACCACAGUUUCGAAGACGAGAACAAAAAAUGGAGUGGUCCCAAAUGGGGUGAUGCAACUGGUGUCUCAGAGAUUGAGAGGUCUACUGGCUGGGGUAACAGUAGUGGUGACAAUACGAAUUUAGCUGAUCCGGCUAAUGCUGAGAAACACACUGAUACUCUCCAUGGUUUGCAAUCUAAAACUCCAUACCGAAUAUCAAAAUAUGUUCGUGAGCAAAAUAUAGGGCAAGAAGCUUCAGGUGGGCCCCAUCCUACUACAUUCAUGCAUUCAGCUUUUCCUGAAGAUUCUAUUAUUCAGCAGCAUCACAAUCCUUUGGGGGAUAAUAAUGCAGUAACUGAUGAUUUUAAUUCACAUGGGGUGGACGUCUAUGCAAUUGUUCCGGAUCCUACUUUUGUGUCUGGACAGAACAACAAUCGAGAAGCUGAUAGUUUUCCAAGUGCAGGUGGACUUAAUCAAAGUCAGCACAUGGUUUCUGUGAACCCCUCCAAUGGACUUGAUAUCGAUUUGAACGGACCGGUGCAACAGAACUACUCCCCAUCCACUCAACAUGGAGAAUCUGUCCAGAAAAUAGUGAACUCCACCAUACCUCUGAACAUUGUCAACAAUGAGCAGGGCGGGCAAGUAAGUAAUUUUCCAUCGUCUCUGAUGCAGAUAAUUGGGAAUGGGCAACUUCCUCAACUAUAUGCAGCACUAAACCCCCCGAACUCCACUGAAUCUGUGCCUUCACUUCCCCAGGAUACUUGGCCCGAUCCAGCUUCGGUAUCUCAAACUCAAUAUAAUCUCAGAGCUGAUAGCAUAGAGCCGACCAAGAAUAAUUCCAAACAAAACAGUGAAAUACUCUUGAAAUAUUCAUCUUCGCAACCCGCUGUUGGGGUUGACGCUGUCAAACCCCACAAGAAUGAGUUUACUGAGGAUAACUCUCAUAGAAGUCCACAGUUGAGACAGCAGAAUCCAGUUGCAGAUUCAGUAUCAAUAGCUGAGAAACAGAAGCAAGAUCUGGAAAACACUCAUCCAGGAAAUGUGGAUGCAAAUCCCAGGAUCGUAGAUGGCAAUACUGAGAAGGAUGAAAAGGCAAUGCGGCCGUUCAGAAAUGCGCUCGUGGAGUUUGUUAAGGAGAUUUUGAAGCCCAAAUGGAAGCAAGGCCAGAUGAGCAGAGAAGUUCACAAAAACAUUGUAGGGAAGGUGGUUGAUAAAGUGACCAGUACAAUUCAAGGUGCUAAUAUCCCGAAGACGCAAGAUAAAAUCGAUCAAUAUCUAAUGUGUUCUAAGCCCAAGCUUACUAAACUUGUAGAGGCAUACACGGAGAGAUUUUGUAAGGGCCCUUAGAGCACCAAGUGCUGCUGAUAUUUCCCUUGCUGUAUUGGACCUUCAGCAGGGUUAGAUGUUAGGAUAGAGUUCAGACUUAUUUGACACUCACAUGGCCUUUUGCUCUCGUGGAUUCCCUCUUUGGCGUUGGUCAUGGCAGUUUCCUCGCAAUGAGACGACAUUAUUUUCGAAAUCUGAUGCUGUUAGUCUCUUAGAAAUGAUGAUCUUGAAGACUCCAGUCCAGCCUAUAUUGUUUUGAUGCUCCAUGUUUAGGGUGUCCUUGUUGCUUCCACUGUGGAUUUACGUUUUCUUGAUUUGUAUUUAGUCAUUGAGCUAGAAAUUGGGCAAGUUCAGCUUCUGAAUUUUUUCUGGGGACUUCGUGUCCAGCUUUCCGCUGUUUUCAAUC